UGGGAUUGUGGGUAGUGUUGUUUUGACCGUUGCUAGUCGUACGGUGUCUAAAAUGCUAAUACAAGACAACGCGCCCCCUCUGGACUGCAAACAAACACAAACAACGUCUCCUAUAAACUUCACCGGCAUUGAAGAAAUUUAACAACUUCUUAAAUAUCAUAUCCUCCACCUUUGCUUUAGACACGUGGAGAAAUAGGUGAGAAAAUCAGGACUAACUGUGACCACCAUUCUGCAGCUAGUGUUGAAACCGACCCCUCAGACCUCACAUCUGCAGCCAGCCCCUCAGGUCUGAUCAGAGAAGACAGGAUGUGACCUCAUCUGUACCCCGGUGACCCUAGGAAGUGCUUCAAAGCAAAAUGAGAGUUCAUCUAGGGAAGGCUCGCCCAAAAAAUUAGUGUGGUGCCAGUGACCCACAAAGACACAAAAGGAGCCACCAAGCAAGGGACGGAGGCAUCCCCGAAGUGAUGCACAGAUCUGAGAGAAGUAGAGGAAUGAGAGGUGGACAAAGACGGAGACAUACGUUCUGAGAAAGAAAACAGACAGAAACAGAGUGAAUGGAAAGCGAAAGAGAGAGAGAAAGAGGCUCUACCCAUCGGUUCCUGGUCAGCUGCCAAGUGCACAGAUCAGUCUGAUGGGAACGCAGUCUGUACACCUGUUCAACCAGCUGGCCUCCACUACCUGUCUCAGUGGCAGCUUCACCCUCAGACACACCCACACAGUCAUCGAGGUGGGGGAUGGUCAUGGGUGGAGGAGUUGGACCUGCGUAUUCCCAUGCAUUUAAAAUGUGGCAUCAAUAAAAGAAACAAUGGAAAACAUGUGCAGCAGGCGAGAGGUGUGGAGGCUUAUUGUUCGUCAGACUCGUUAACGCUAAUAUGUAAUUAUGAGACAAUGUUAAGAGGAAGAACAGUUAUUGCCAAAUUAAAAAUUGAAUAUUUUUAUGCUUUGAGGAAGCUUGAAGUGACGGCCUUAGUGUCAAGGGGAGAAACAUAAAGGUAGAGAUGGAAGUUGUGUGUUGCUGUCCGUUUAAAAAAAAAAACAUGUCUGGGAAAGGAUGAAUAAAAAGAAAAGGAGAUGAAAUAUUCCUUUCACUCUGUAAAUUUUAAGGAAAAAUAGGAAAAAGCAAAGGCAGGAAUAAAAGAGGAAGGGAAAUAUGCACAUGAAUGAAUGCACAGAUGACCCCCGGCCCCUGCCCCUCCUCUGGGCGCCACAGAUGUGCAUGUGCGCCGGGUGAUAAACGCCGAACCAAUUGGAGCAGCACGGCAGCAGCCGUAAUAAAAGGCCUAAAUGGCAUUUGCAUGGUGUAAUUACUGCUGGCUGGCCUGCUCUUUGUGUUGGCGGACACCGGGGUCCUGUUGAGAAAUCAUCCCUCAAUGGGCGCUGGCGAAAUGAGGUGCGAGAGGUGCGUCGGGGUCAUGUUCGCGGCCGACUGCCGCUCCCGGAGCCAACGCCACCCCUCGGACCCGCGGCGCCGCUGCACCGGGCUGGAGGUGGCCCCCGGCUGCCCCCGCGUUGAGCUGCACACGUGGAUGAUGAUGUUCUCGACAUGGAGGAUCGCGUUCAUUCACCUGACACGCUGACACCAGCUGCCAAGGGUCGCUAAUGUAAAUCUGGGCAGAUUAAAGGCC